GCUCCACAGUGUUGAUCGCCUUAAAAAUAUGAAUAUUAUACUUGCAAAUAUGUUGAUGACACAAGAGUUGAUUGAUCAUCUUUCAAUUUUAGCAACCCAACUGUUUGGUUGCUUCAUUCUUGACUUCUUUGGAGUAAAAAAAGAAAGAAAGAAAGAAAGAAAGAGAGGCUGUAUUACUGGUCAAAGAGAUAACUUGGCUGGUGGUUGAUCAGGAGGCUCAUUGGUCACUGGGAGGGGUAUUUUGUGGAGAAUCUUCUAUGAUUUUUGCAUAGAAUCAAGCAUUGCAUCACAAAUUUUACAAUGACUGGGAAAUAAUU